UGAACGCUGGCGGCGUGCCUAAUACAUGCAAGUCGAACGAGUUCUGAUUAUUGAAAGGUGCUUGCAUCUUGAUUUUAAUUUUGAACGAGUGGCGGACGGGUGAGUAACACGUGGGUAACCUGCCCUUAAGUGGGGGAUAACAUUUGGAAACAGAUGCUAAUACCGCAUAAAUCCAAGAACCGCAUGGUUCUUGGCUGAAAGAUGGCGUAAGCUAUCGCUUUUGGAUGGACCCGCGGCGUAUUAGCUAGUUGGUGAGGUAACGGCUCACCAAGGCAAUGAUACGUAGCCGAACUGAGAGGUUGAUCGGCCACAUUGGGACUGAGACACGGCCCAAACUCCUACGGGAGGCAGCAGUAGGGAAUCUUCCACAAUGGACGCAAGUCUGAUGGAGCAACGCCGCGUGAGUGAAGAAGGCUUUCGGGUCGUAAAACUCUGUUGUUGGAGAAGAAUGGUCGGCAGAGUAACUGUUGUCGGCGUGACGGUAUCCAACCAGAAAGCCACGGCUAACUACGUGCCAGCAGCCGCGGUAAUACGGAGGUGGCAAGCGUUAUCCGGAUUUAUUGGGCGUAAAGCGAACGCAGGCGGUUUUUUAAGUCUGAUGUGAAAGCCCUCGGCUUAACCGAGGAAGUGCAUCGGAAACUGGGAAACUUGAGUGCAGAAGAGGACAGUGGAACUCCAUGUGUAGCGGUGAAAUGCGUAGAUAUAUGGAAGAACACCAGUGGCGAAGGCGGCUGUCUGGUCUGUAACUGACGCUGAGGCUCGAAAGCAUGGGUAGCGAACAGGAUUAGAUACCCUGGUAGUCCAUGCCGUAAACGAUGAAUGCUAGGUGUUGGAGGGUUUCCGCCCUUCAGUGCCGCAGCUAACGCAUUAAGCAUUCCGCCUGGGGAGUACGACCGCAAGGUUGAAACUCAAAGGAAUUGACGGGGGCCCGCACAAGCGGUGGAGCAUGUGGUUUAAUUCGAAGCAACGCGAAGAACCUUACCAGGUCUUGACAUCUUUUGAUCACCUGAGAGAUCAGGUUUCCCCUUCGGGGGCAAAAUGACAGGUGGUGCAUGGUUGUCGUCAGCUCGUGUCGUGAGAUGUUGGGUUAAGUCCCGCAACGAGCGCAACCCUUAUGACUAGUUGCCAGCAUUUAGUUGGGCACUCUAGUAAGACUGCCGGUGACAAACCGGAGGAAGGUGGGGAUGACGUCAAAUCAUCAUGCCCCUUAUGACCUGGGCUACACACGUGCUACAAUGGAUGGUACAACGAGUUGCGAGACCGCGAGGUCAAGCUAAUCUCUUAAAGCCAUUCUCAGUUCGGACUGUAGGCUGCAACUCGCCUACACGAAGUCGGAAUCGCUAGUAAUCGCGGAUCAGCACGCCGCGGUGAAUACGUUCCCGGGCCUUGUACACACCGCCCGUCACACCAUGAGAGUUUGUAACACCCGAAGCCGGUGGCGUAACCCUUUUAGGGAGCGAGCCGUCUAAGGUGGGACAAAAA
rnacentral:rRNA from 1 species